CAGCAGCCGCGGGAAUACAGAGGGUGCAAGCGUUAAUCGGAAUUACUGGGCGUAAAGCGCGCGUAGGUGGUUUGUUAAGUUGGAUGUGAAAUCCCCGGGCUCAACCUGGGAACUGCAUUUGAAACUGUCAGGCUGGAGUCUUGUAGAGGGGGGUGGAAUUCCAGGUGUAGCGGUGAAAUGCGUAGAGAUCUGGAGGAAUACCGGUGGCGAAGGCGGCCCCCUGGACAAAGACUGACGCUCAGGUGCGAAAGCGUGGGGAGCAAACAGGAUUAGAUACCCCUGUAGUCCCUGUCUCUUAUAC
rnacentral:rRNA from 1 species